GUUGUUGUGGUGUAGUGGUUAUCACGUCAGACUUACACACUGAAGGUCUCCAAUUCAAUCUUGGGCAGUAACA
rfam:Ipomoea nil DNA, scaffold: scaffold1074, cultivar: Tokyo-kokei standard.